rnacentral:rRNA from 1 species
AACGAACGCUGGCGGCAUGCCUAACACAUGCAAGUCGAACGAGACCUUCGGGACUGGUGGCGCACGGGUGCGUAACGCGUGGGAACCUGCCCUUAGGUUCGGAAUAACUCCCCGAAGGGGGUGCUAAUGCCGGAUAAUGUCCUCGGACCCCACAUUUAUCGCCCUUGGAUGGGCCCGCGUUCUUUUAGCUAGUUGGUAGUGUAAAAGCCUAACAAGGCUACGAUCCGUAGCUGGUCUCAGAGGAUGAUCAGCCACACUGUGCCUGAGACACGGUCCAGACUCCUACGGGAGGGAGCAGUGGGGAAUAUUGGACAAUGGGCGCAAGGGUGAUCCAGCCAUACCGGGGGGGUGCAGAAGCCCUUCGGGCCGGAAAGCCGUUUUGUGGGUAAAGAAAAGCAGCAGGUUUAUCCCGGGAUGUUAUGACGGUACCCGGAGAAUAAGCACCGGCUAACUUCGUG